AUUGAACGCUGGCGGCAUGCCUUACACAUGCAAGUCGAACGGUAACAGGUCUUCGGAUGCUGACGAGUGGCGAACGGGUGAGUAAUACAUCGGAACGUGCCCGAGAGUGGGGGAUAACGAGGCGAAAGCUUUGCUAAUACCGCAUACGAUCUCAGGAUGAAAGCAGGGGACCGCAAGGCCUUGCGCUCACGGAGCGGCCGAUGGCAGAUUAGGUAGUUGGUGGGAUAAAAGCUUACCAAGCCGACGAUCUGUAGCUGGUCUGAGAGGACGACCAGCCACACUGGACUGAGACACGGCCCAGACUCCUACGGGAGGCAGCAGUGGGGAAUUUCGGACAAUGGGCGCAAGCCUGAUCCAGCCAUGCCGCGUGCAGGAUGAAGGCCUUCGGGUUGUAAACUGCUUUUGUACGGAACGAAAAGACUCUGGUUAAUACCUGGGGUCCAUGACGGUACCGUAAGAAUAAGCACCGGCUAACUACGUGCCAGCAGCCGCCGUAA
rnacentral:rRNA from 1 species